CAGCGAGCAUAACGGCGGGGCGAUAAACUUUAUCGUUUAUCAAGUAGCGCAAUGUUAUGAAACACUGUACGAUUGCUUCGGCUUGUAGGCUGUGGGUAGCCUUGAAAACGGUCGACCAACGUCCUGCCGCUGUUCAACAGUUUCCGAGGGAAGCGAAAAACGCCUCGGCAAUUAUCGCUCGACUGCGGAUUUUGUACAUUUACGGCAAAAAUGAGCAACUGAAAUACAAAAUUCUAAAGAGACAUACAAAGAAUUGGGGAUUCCUGUGCUGGAAUGGCUUCGAAGAUUGCCGAGAUAAAGGACUCACCCUGUCGGACUGCAGCCACAGUAUCACUGAGUUGGGAUAUCUGAGGCGGCCGCCUAAUCCGGAACUACCAGCUGUCCGUUGAGCUUUCAGAAGUUCCGAGUGGGUCACACCUUGCUGGACGAACACUUCCAGGGACCUGGAAUCAAACGAGAAGCAAAUGUUAUAGGGAUUCAUCAUACCAAAUGUACUCGAUUCCAUUCCAAACUUCAUUUGCAUGGAAGUCCUCUUUACCAUGGCUCUUAAUUCGAAAUUCUUCGAAAUUUAAUUGAGAAGUUCCUGAAAGCAACGUUUCUUUUCAUACAAAAUUACAAGCGAGCAGACUUUUUUAACGAAAUAAG